GAGGAUAUAGCUCAAGUGGUAGAGCGCUUACUUAGCAUUCAUGAGGUCCUGGGUUCAAUCCCUAGUAUCUCCC
rnacentral:tRNA from 1 species